rnacentral:rRNA from 1 species
CCUACGGGAGGCAGCAGUGGGGAAUAUUGCACAAUGGGCGCAAGCCUGAUGCAGCCAUGCCGCGUGUGAAGAAGGCCUCCGGGUUGUAAAGCACUUUCAGCGGGGAGGAAGGCGUUAAGGUUAAUAACCUUGGCGAUUGACGUUACCCGCAGAAGAAGCACCGGCUAACUCCGUGCCAGCAGCCGCAGUAAUACGGAGGGUGCAAGCGUUAAUCGGAAUUACUGGGCGUAAAGCGCACGCAGGCGGUCUGUCAAGUCGGAUGUGAAAUCCCCGGGCUCAACCUGGGAACUGCAUUCGAAACUGGCAGGCUAGAGUCUUGUAGAGGGGGGUAGAAUUCCAGGUGUAGCGGUGAAAUGCGUAGAGAUCUGGAGGAAUACCGGUGGCGAAGGCGGCCCCCUGGACAAAGACUGACGCUCAGGUGCGAAAGCGUGGGGAGCAAACAGGAUUAGAUACCCUGGUAGUC